AGAUCAGUCCAUGACCAACACAAGGCAUGUCUCAGUGCAAGAGUAAGGAAGACUUGAAAUGCUUAUAUCAAGUGAGAUGUGAAUUGGAAACUAAAAAAGACUCUUGUAAUUGUACAGAUCUGUGCAGAGAAUCUACCUAUGAAAAAACAAUAGCUACGUUGCAAUGGCCAACAGACAGUUAUGUU
rnacentral:sRNA from 1 species